UUUUCAUUCUGGCUGUUUGCUUCAGCAAUGCUUUAAGCUUGCCAGUUGCAAGACAAAGCCAGAAUGCUGAUGAUGAACUGCUGGUGAAAGACAAUAAAAUCCUUUCUUUAAGUGGCAGCCUUGGCCUUUUGCAGUCAAUGGAUUCCAGUUUGAAUAAAAUUGAAGAAGUAAAACUGGAAACCAAUGAGGUAGAAGCUGAGGCAUCACUU